rnacentral:rRNA from 1 species
GAUGAACGCUGGCGGCGUGCCUAAUACAUGCAAGUCGAGCGAACGGACGAGAAGCUUGCUUCUCUGAUGUUAGCGGCGGACGGGUGAGUAACACGUGGAUAACCUACCUAUAAGACUUGGAUAACUUCGGGAAACCGGAGCUAAUACCGGAUAAUAUUUUGAACCGCAUGGUUCAAAAGUGAAUGACGGUCUUGCUGUCACUUAUAGAUGGAUCCGCGCUGCAUUAGCUAGUUGGUAAGGUAACGGCUUACCAAGGCAACGAUGCAUAGCCGACCUGAGAGGGUGAUCGGCCACACUGGAACUGAGACACGGUCCAGACUCCUACGGGAGGCAGCAGUAGGGAAUAUUCCGCAAUGGGCGAAAGCCUGACGGAGCAACGCCGCGUGAGUGAUGAAGGUCUUCGGAUCGUAAAACUCUGUUAUUAGGGAAGAACAUAUGUGUAAGUAACUGUGCACAUCUUGACGGUACCUAAUCAGAAAGCCACGGCUAACUACGUG